GAGCAGCAGACCGAGCAGGAUGCUGAUCAGCAGCGGCAGCAGGAAGGACAUGGCUCCGCUUCGGUCCGGUCCAGGACGGGACGCUGAGCUCUGAUCGGACGGAGAUACGAAGCAUGAAACUCCAGCAGGUGACCUGACCUCGUCUCCGUUCUCGUCCUUCACCACCUGCUGAGCCGUCAUGACCUCCGUAGCAGCGAUGGCCGACGCCAGAGCCUGGAAAACCAAGGCAGACAUCAGGAAGCUCUCUGGGAUCAGGACCGAUCAGGGAAAACGGUCCGAUCGGAUCCGAACAACACAUCUCUUAACGGCCAUCUGGAAGGUGAAGCUGAUGACGCCUCGGAUCUUCAGCAGUGCCUCCUCACACAGGCUGCGCCGACCCUG